AAGUUGAACGGAAAUUUUUAGGAAUUUUAGUAGCGGACGGGUGAGUAACACGUGAGAAUCUACCUUUUGGAGAGGGAUAACAUUCAGAAAUGGUUGCUAAUACCUCAUAUAAAAAACGGGUUUAUUCCGCCAAAAGAAGAGCUCGCGGCUGAUUAGCUAGUUGGUAAGGUAAAGGCUUACCAAGGCGACGAUCAGUAUCUGGUUUGAGAGGAUGAUCAGACACAUUGGAACUGAGACACGGUCCAAACUCC
rnacentral:rRNA from 1 species